AAUAUUGCACAAUGGGCGCAAGCCUGAUGCAGCGACGCCGCGUGAGCGAAGAAGGUUUUCGGAUCGUAAAGCUCUGUCCUCUGGGAAGAAAAAAAUGACGGUACCAGAGGAGGAAGCCCCGGCUAACUACGUGCCAGCAGCCGCGGUAAUACGUAGGGGGCAAGCGUUAUCCGGAAUCAUUGGGCGUAAAGGGUGCGUAGGCGGCCCUAUAGGUCAGAGGUCAAAGGCUACGGCUCAACCGUAGUAAGCCUUUGAAACUGUAGGGCUUGAGUGCAGGAGAGGAGAGUGGAAUUCCUAGUGUAGCGGUGAAAUGCGUAGAUAUUAGGAGGAACACCAGUGGCGAAGGCGACUCUCUGGACCGCAACUGACGCUGAGGCACGAAAGCGUGGGGAGCGAACAGG
rnacentral:rRNA from 1 species